UACGGAGGGAGCUAGCGUUGUUCGGAAUUACUGGGCGUAAAGCGCGCGUAGGCGGCUUUGUAAGUUAGAGGUGAAAGCCCGGAGCUCAACUCCGGAACUGCCUUUAAAACUGCAUCGCUUGAAUCCAGGAGAGGUGAGUGGAAUUCCGAGUGUAGAGGUGAAAUUCGUAGAUAUUCGCAAGAACACCAGUGGCGAAGGCGGCUCACUGGCCCGAUACUGACGCUGAGGCACGAAAGCGUGGGGAGCAAACAGG
rnacentral:rRNA from 1 species